CCUACGGGUGGCAGCAGUGAGGAAUAUUGGUCAAUGGGCGCGAGCCUGAACCAGCCAAGUAGCGUGAAGGAUGACUGCCCUACGGGUUGUAAACUUCUUUUAUAAAGGAAUAAAGUGAGGCACGUGUGCCUUUUUGUAUGUACUUUAUGAAUAAGGAUCGGCUAACUCCGUGCCAGCAGCCGCGGUAAUACGGAGGAUCCGAGCGUUAUCCGGAUUUAUUGGGUUUAAAGGGAGCGUAGAUGGGUUGUUAAGUCAGUUGUGAAAGUUUUCGGCUCAACCGUAAAAUUGCAAUUGAUACUGGCAGCGUUGAGUUCACAACAGGCAGGCGGAAUUCGUGGUGUAGCGGUGAAAUGCAUAGAGAUCACGAGGAACCCCGAUUGCGAAGGCAGCCUGCCGGGGUGCGACUGACGCUGAGGCUCGAAGGUGCGGGUAUCAAACAGGAGUAGAUACCCGUGUAGUC
rnacentral:rRNA from 1 species